AGGAAAGCCUUAUUACACCGAUUUGCUAGAUUUAUUCAAUGAGGUGGAAUUUCAAACCGUCUCGGGUGAAAUGAUAGACUUAAUAACCACACUUGAAGGGGAGAAAGAUUUAUCGAUGUACUCAUUGUCAACUUACCGCAGGAUUGUUGAGUACAAGUCGGCUUAUUACUCAUUUUACCUUCCCGU